GUGUUUACUUUCAUUUCCCAUUGCAGCACCUCAUGCCUCAGAAAAUGGCUUGGCGGGCCACAUCAUAUGUUGGACAAGCCGGUCUUAAACAGCCCUAUAGCUCAGGAAGAAGAAAAGUCCCGUUAUACCCAUGAGAGGAAAACAAGGCACAAGAGUCAUUGGUGAAAGCUCCAAAUGCUCCACCUACAACAUUCAGAAAAACAGGACAAGAAACACCAUGGACAAUUUUUUUGCCUACCAGUCACACAGACACUUUCAGUCCAUCAUUACUAAUCAGAAACAAAUGAUACAUUCAGCAUGUAACCAUGUUAAGGGCUAAAGAUCGAAGUCCCUUCUUUUUCACCCUUUAAAGCAUUUGUCUUAGAAACAGAAGGAGUGUAUUUGUUACUGGAUAGUACAUGACAAAAGGGCAAAUAUCCCGUGAUGCGUGCUGUUCAGGAGAAAUGUGUCUGCUCUCCCAUGUGUGGUCUUCUUGAUAUAAAACCUUGAAGCAGAUGCUUUGUUAUCAUUAUCCUCUUUGAUAACAGCUACUGAAUUUGCUACAACAUAACUUCCAUGUGGUGGUGAGAAUCUGUCAAUAGUCCAGAGAAGUAGUUCAAAUGAGCUUCCGAAUGUUUAGAUCUACAUUGCUGGGAUUCUGCUGCAUCUUUAAGAUAACAUCUUUGGCUAGCCCCAAGAGAAAUGAAGAGAUUGAGCUGUAAUCAGUCUGCCCCUCUCUUGGAUUCAGUAAACACUUUUCUUGAAUACUUUACUAAUGCACACACAAAAUAAAAAUCCCCACCUUUCCUUAUAA